UAGCGAAAGCACGCCUCUAGUUAAGAACACUUUCAGGUUAAGAACGGACCUCAGAACGAAUUAAGUUCGUAACUAGAGGUACCACUGUAAUAUCAUAAUAGCAUAUAUUAAGGUGGGAAUUGGGUAGUUGGCCAACAGGAAACAAGUGUUCUAUAAUCCAAUAGGCAAAACGUGUAGAAGGGCAUCAUGUUGGUAUUGUGAAAUGGAAUCCUCCCAUUACUAAGCUGCAUAUGCAGAUUUCAUCUUAGAAGAGUAGAGUAGAUGUAAACCACCCCUUUCAGGCCUACUGUUGAUUGUAGGGGCAGAACCUAGAGGAUGAGUUUUUCUGUUCUUGUGGGAGAGGGUGGGACCUUGAUGGCACACAGUGGGGGGAGGGGGAACCAAUUUUAUAGUGUGUUAAUCUGUUCUGCUAUUCUUAAUCAUGCAAUCUGUAAGUUGCCAGUUGUUGGUGCCAGUGACUUAGACCUAGUUCUCUGAUGUGGAGAAGUGUAAGCAGAGGACAGCAAUUAACCAGCUCUAAAGACUUUAGGAUGUACCUCUUAGCCAAAGUGUGGAUCAAAGGAGACUCAGACAGGACUUCCAGCAGCCUAUUGUGUAUGUGGACCAGUCAGCAUAUUUAAAGAAUGACAAGGCAGCGACAGCACCAGCUUCAACUUCCAGAAAAGUGAAAGCAUAAAAUACUAUGCUGAUAGUGAGCAGCUUUCCAAAAGCUAGUUAAAACUGCCUAUCACUGCUGAAAUAUCGAAGAAAGUCUAGCAAGAGUUCUUCACCAGUUGGAACCUCCUUGAGUCAUAGCUACUUGAGUUCACCCAGUCAUAGGUCUAGCAUUUAGACCUGAAAGGAAGGGGAAUGAGAAUAGGUAAGGUUUGUCUCUAACACUUUUAACGAAUUAAAAGAGCUACUCUUUCCUGAACAAGGUAAGAAAAAUCUCUUUGACUUGCAGAUUGUUGAAGAAACUUCUGCUUGACCAGAUGUGGAUUUCUUGCCUGUUGGAAAACCUGUGGCUUGGUAAGACUCUAGUACAAUAUAAAACUUUGAUGUGCCCAUGACUGUAUUCUUGGCUUUGAAAAUCCAGCUUCUGUGAUGAGAAGGAAUUAUGCAAAAACAAGGUGAGUGCCAGUACUUAAUCAUUGUACUUCCAUACUAUGAAAUGUGAGCAGUGCACAAUUAAAAUUAAAAUUCUCAUCUGACUGAUGUAUAGGGAAGCUAUAACUGGUGACUUUUAGCACUGAUACAGCUUUAGAAAAUGUUUCAUGUCAUUUUAGUAACGCAAGAAUCCUAAAAGGUAGGUCAGUGUUAUCCAGAUUGCUUAAGGGUGGCUGAAGUGUAGUAGUUUGUCUGGUGAACUGCUUGCUGAAGGAAGAUUUUAUCUGGGAUUUUGCCUUGCACAUAGUGAAAUGGUUUCUACUAGAUUACAUCUUUUCCCACAACUUAAAUGAUAAGUAGAUUUUUAAAAUAAAAACUGUAUUUCAUGUUCAUUAGUACACAGGUAACUCCCCGUUUCCGCAGGGGUUGCAUUCUGGGUCAAAGCACACGUCGGUGGAGUGUGUAUAAGCCUGCCCCCAGCCCUCCUUUUUCCAGGUCCAAAAGGACUUGUGCGUCAGUUGGAUGUGCCUUAAAUGAUCACUGCCUAUAAUUGGAUUUGGGCAAAUCCAAUGCAUAAAGUCAACUUGAAAUCUGUCCACCUUUGCACACCUGUUGGAACUGCAGAUUUUCUGUUGGUAAUAUUAUUAAUUACUGAAUUUCAGACAAGAAAAUAAUUUCUUCUGGAAGUUGAGUACCUGAUGUCCCUACCAAAUAAUUGGUUUUCAGGGACUCAGCCAAGCUGCUUGUGUGCUCAUUUUGCACCUUUCCGCCCAACACACAACAGAACGUAGAUUUGGGGGUAGAACAAAGACAACCAUCUCUACAAGUUGAAAGAUGAUGUGAAAUACGCCGAUAGCCUAUGAUAGGUGAAAGUGAUUGAAGUGUGUAAACUCCCACUCACCUUGUUCAAACGCUUACAAUAAAGUGUCAUAAAUUAUGAAAGUUG